CCUACGGGUGGCAGCAGUGAGGGAUAUUGCACAAUGGGGGGAACCCUGAUGCAGCGAAGCCGCGUGGGUGAUGGAGGGUUUAGGCGCGUUAAGCUCUAUCGGUCGGGGAGAAGGAGGAUGGUACCUGACUAUGAAGCACAGGCUAACUACGUGCCAGCAGCCGCGGUAACAUGGAGGGGGCAAGCGUUAUCCGGAUUUACUGGGCGUAAGGGGGGCGCAGGCGGCAGAGCAAGACCGGAGUGAAAGCCUGGGGCCCAACCCCGGUAGUGCUCUUGGAACUGCGCGGCUUGAGUGCAGGAGGGGCAGGCGGAAUUCCUGGUGUAGCGGUGAAAUGCGUAGAUAUCAGGAGGAACACCGGUGGCGAAGGCGGCCUGCUGGACUGCGACUGACGUUGAGGCCCGAAAGCGUGGGGAGCAAACAGGAUUAGAUACCCGAGUAGUC
rnacentral:rRNA from 1 species